rnacentral:misc_RNA from 1 species
UUAAGUUCAGCGGGUAUCCCUACCUGAUCCGAGGUCAACCUUAAGAAAAUUGGUUAAAAAGACCGGGUUAAAGGGUCCGACUAAAUGCGUGCUAAUGAAAGCUCGUUGCAUCUAGGGGUCCAAAUAACGCCGUCAUUAUCUUUAGGGCCUGUCGGUUUCAACGACAAAGAGACCCAACAGAAGCCAGGCUUGAUUAGUGA